GAGUUUGAUCCUGGCUCAGAAUCAACGCUGGCGGCGCGCUUAACACAUGCAAGUCGAACGAGAAAAUUCCCUUCGGGGAGUGAGUAAAGUGGCGAACGGGUGAGUAACACGUGGGUUACCUGCCCUCGAGUGGGGAAUAACUCUGGGAAACCGGGGCUAACACCGCAUACGAUCCUUCGGGAUGAAAGUCUUCGGACGCUCGAGGAGGGGCCCGCGGCCGAUUAGCUUGUUGGCGGGGUAAUGGCCCACCAAGGCAAAGAUCGGUAGCCGGCCUGAGAGGGCGCACGGUCACACUGGCACUGAGACACGGGCCAGACUCCUACGGGAGGCAGCAGUGAGGAAUCUUGGACAAUGGGGGAAACCCUGAUCCAGCGACGCCGCGUGAGUGAUGAAGCCUUUCGGGGUGUAAAGCUCUUUCAGCGGGGACAAUCAUGAUGGUACCCGCACAAGCAGCUGCGGCUAAUACGUGCCAGCAGCCGCGGUAAUAC
rnacentral:rRNA from 1 species